rnacentral:sRNA from 12 species
CUCUUUCUUAUGGCGAUGAAUACCUCGGUGCAGAACGGCCAGUCACCGUGCCGAGAUUGUACGUACAGCGAGAUAUUAUAUGAUGGGAUACUUUCACAUGGUAUCUUCUGAAACAUAGUGAUAUGUUUUGGAUAGGUGGGAACCACCAAAGCUAAGUAUAAGUGCAAAAAAAUAUUGCCGUAAAAAGUUACUGCCAGAUUGCCAACAUAAUAGACGCUGCUGUGCAGAAUAAUCUUGAUGCCUAUAUGGGUGGAACCAUGUAGGAUUGUAGAGAAAAUCCACUAAGUUGGUUGUGUCGUUGAAUUGCAGAAAUGCAGGUAUAAAAUCUGUUCAGUGUACAAGUAGCCCAAAUCGACAUUGAAACUAUAUUUUACUAAUAGAUUAAAAAAAUAAUAAGUUCUGAAUGACGGGUGAAAGUUCAAAGUAACCAAUCUUUGCUACAAUUAUUGCUUAUGCAAACGACAAAGAAGUAUUAGGGUAGCUCCCUUAUGCUCAGACUUUGUUGAGUAGUGGCUGAAUAUUAUGACGAUAUUUUGAUGUAAGGCGAAGGCCUAUUUUGUUGCCAUAAUAAAG